GGGAACCCGCGGUCAACCAAGGUCUUGAGAGGCGCACUCUCUCAUUUUAGAGGCCCUCACCCUACUCUGUCUAAGCCCAUGGUCCCUGUCUCACUAUGGCAGUUGUUAAAACAUCCACCAGUGGCAAACUGGAAUGUUAUGCUUGGAGAAGUGAGUACAACCACAGUUACAGAAUUUCAGAGCUGGGAAAGGGAAUCUGGAGAUCACUGACCCGCCCCCCUCCCGGCCCAGGUGAAGCAGUCGGCAGGGAGAGUAGGAGUCAGAGGCCACUCCAGAAGGGAGUCCAUCUCCACAGACACCUCUGAGGAUCGUGACGGCGCAGAACAGAUGGAAAAGGAGAGCAGUGCUCCGAGUGUAACGCACUUCCUCCCUACCUCAGUCCUGUCCUCCAGUGUCCCCUGCCUGCCCUUCCGCCCGCCCACCCUCCUUUCCCUCAUUCUCACCCACCAGGACCAGGCCUACCCUGGGGAGCUGAGGUCACCGGAGCUGCAAAGUGGCUGGGACCCCUCUGGUCCAGCUUGCCCUGCCCUAUGUCUCCUCAGCAAUGGGCUCCUGCUGGGAUCCUGGGUGACCCGGUGGGAGAGCUGGGGUGGGGGUGCGUGGGGUGAGAUGAGCCUGGCUGGCUGGGACCCGGCCCUGCCGACGCUGAGGGUGCCCCACUGUCCCGUCCCUUCCAGUUCUCAGGACUUUUCCAGCUGGACGACAGUUGUGAAGCCUGUCCCUCUGUGGAUAAAAUGGGAGUUCCUGUGGCCAGGAUUCUCACCUGGCCCUGGUUGACUAGCUCACUGCACACCUAUGGGCAAUACAUGACUAUUGACUCCAUAAAAAGAGCUCUGCCCAGUGCUCUGGGUGCAACACGGCAGUGGCAGGGCUGCAAGGCUGCAUGAGAGCAGAGCAAAGGCUGGAGAGGUGGCAGUGCCGAGGACA